GAUGAACGCUGGCGGCGUGCCUAAUACAUGCAAGUCGAGCGAACAGAUGAGGAGCUUGCUCCUCUGACGUUAGCGGCGGACGGGUGAGUAACACGUGGAUAACCUACCUAUAAGACUGGGAUAACUUCGGGAAACCGGAGCUAAUACCGGAUAAUAUAUUGAACCGCAUGGUUCAAUAGUGAAAGACGGUUUUGCUGUCACUUAUAGAUGGAUCCGCGCCGCAUUAGCUAGUUGGUAAGGUAACGGCUUACCAAGGCAACGAUGCGUAGCCGACCUGAGAGGGUGAAGGGACAAACGGAAACUGAGAAAAGGCCAAGACUCCACGGGGAGGAAGAAGGGGGAAUUCUCCCGAAAGGGGAAAAGGAGAGAGGGAGAAACGCGGGGGGAGGAAUAAAGGUUUUGGGAUAUAAAAAUUUUGUGAUUAGGAAAAAAAAAUUGUGAAAGUAACAAGGCACGUCUGGAGGGAACAAAACAAAAAAGACAGGGAAAAAACGGGG
rnacentral:rRNA from 1 species